GAUGAACGCUGGCGGCGUGCCUAAUACAUGCAAGUCGAGCGAACAGAUGAGGAGCUUGCUCCUCUGACGUUAGCGGCGGACGGGUGAGUAACACGUGGAUAACCUACCUAUAAGACUGGGAUAACUUCGGGAAACCGGAGAUAAUACCGGAUAAGAUAUUGAACCGCAUGGUUCAAUAGUGAAAGACGGUUUUGCUGUCCCUUAUAGAUGGAUCCGCGCCGCAUUAGCUAGUUGGUAAGGUAACGGCUUACCAAGGCAACGAUGCGUAGCCGACCUGAGAGGGUGAUCGGCCACACUGGAACUGAGACACGGUCCAGACUCCUACGGGAGGCAGCAGUAGGGAAUCUUCCGCAAUGGGCGAAAGCCUGACGGAGCCACGCCGCGUGAGUGAUGAAGGUCUUCGGAUUGUAAAACUCUUUUAGUAGGGAAGAACAAAUGUGUAAGUAACUAUGCCCGUCUUGACGGUACCUAAUCAGAAAGCCACGGCUAACUACGUG
rnacentral:rRNA from 1 species